UUUCGCAAUGCCCGAAAGGGUGACGAAGCGACGCCGCGUGUGGGAAGAAGGCCUUCGGGUUGUAAACCACUGUCAGGAGUUAGGAAAUGUAAGGGUGCUAAUAGUAUCCUUACUUGACUAAGGCUCCGGAGGAAGCCACGGCUAACUCUGUGCCAGCAGCCGCGGUAAUACAGAGGCGGCAAGCGUUGUUCGGAAUUAUUGGGCGUAAAGAGCACGUAGGCGGCCUUGUAAGUCAGUUGUGAAAGCCUUCUGCUUAACGGAAGAACAGCAGCUGAUACUGCAAGGCUAGAGUGCGGAAGGGGAGAGUGGAACUUCUGGUGGAGCGGUGAAAUGCGUAGAUAUCAGAAGGAACACCGGCGGCGAAGGCGACUCUCUGGUCCGUAACUGACGCUGAGUGUGCGAAAGCUAGGGGAGCAAACGGGAUUAGAUACCCCGGUAGUCCUAGCCGUGAACGAUGGGCACUAAGUAGAGGGGUUUUA
rnacentral:rRNA from 1 species